rnacentral:rRNA from 1 species
UACGUAGGGGGCUAGCGUUGUCCGGAAUCAUUGGGCGUAAAGCGCGUGUAGGCGGCCCGGUAAGUCCGCUGUGAAAGUCCAGGGCUCAACCCUGGGAUGCCGGUGGAUACUGUCGGGCUCGAGUCCGGAAGAGGCGAGUGGAAUUCCUGGUGUAGCGGUGAAAUGCGUAGAUAUUGGGAGGAACACCAGUGGCGAAGGCGGCUCACUGGACCGGUACUGACGCUGAUGCGCGAAAGCGUGGGGAGCAAACGGG